CAUUAAGUCAAAACCAAGACUUGGAUUAAGUGUCCUAAUCCUCAAGGUCGAGUGAAGGCGUUGCAUAAAGAGGAGCGCAAUCCUUCGGCUCCUGUAGUCCCAGUCCACCCAGGAGGUCUUGUACAGCUCGUGCGGAAGGUCCAGGCUGCGCUGGGUUACCUCACUGACGAUGAAAUUCAUUACUGGCCUGGGGAGGCAUUUCGGAUAUGGAAUACCCACCCGGCAUAGUAGCACAAUAUAAAAAUCUGAAUCAACAUGCACGCCUGAUAGGUCACAUACUUAAAGAGCUCCAGCCUCUCGUCAGAUAACUACAAUUAUGUAUAUAGGGAAAACAAAUUAAGACCAUUGUUUUUCUAGAAAGCAUUUAUGAUAGUCUUCUUGUUGCGAAUUCACAGCUCACCACAGCAAUGGCAUAGAAAUUGGCAGUCAGCACCAAAACCGAGCAGAAGAUCUGCACCGAAAUCGGCUUGCAAAGUAGACGCUCCACGGUUUUCGACAGUUCAACGAUGGUCAUGUGAUAGCGGAUAUUUUCCUUAAGUUGCUGUUCCACAGUGCCACCAGAAGUAGUGAUUAACCGACCGAUCUUGUCCAGUCGCACGGCCAGAAUGUCCAGCUGGCACUUGAGGAAGAUGAACAGUGAGGAGCAGAGUGAGUCGAAUCCUAUGUUGGUGAUGCAGGAUACGGACAAGGCCAGACACUGAUAGCAGUAGAGGAGCCAAUAAGCAGGUGAGCCGGUAUUCUCGCCAAGCGGAUUGUAUGUUUUGAGCGGAAGGUGGGACCAGUCCAAGGCGAACUGGGGUAUGAGAAUCAUGCUCAAGGCGGCAAACGAAAGCGCUCCAUAGAAGUCCCGAAGCUUCCUACUUCUUUCACAGGCUGCUGCAAAGAUCAACUCUUCGUUGGCGCCUCUAGGACGGAACUCUUCGUUAUCCAAUCUCCUAAAGAGCUCCUCCAUCUGCACAUUGUUCGCCUUUAUGGACAGCAGCUUGGUGGUGUGCCCUGCACUGGUGGCCAGGAUAAAGAUGGCUUUCACAACCUCGGACAUGUAGCUCAAAUUAGCCAUCACAUGGAGCACCAAGAGGAGAUCAAAGAGCAGCACCCAAAACACAAUUACGUGGACAUAGUUCACCUGGUGGAUGAUUCUCCACCGGCGUUCUAUCUGAGGCCACAACGAGAGGAUGUUCAAGAAUGCCUUCUGGCCCUUGUAAAAGAUUUCUACUCCUUUGCUCAUUUCACGUCCAGAUUUUUCCAGAACUUAAGAUUAAUUGAUUCGUUCAAGUGUUUAUAAGGCUUCUGAACGGCAUUUAAAAUGUCAUUAGACGACCUAAUCGUUGGUUAAUCAUUAAAUUAUUAAGACAAAAACAUAAUAUGACUAAUAAAAUCAAGUAAUGAUUUU
rnacentral:lncRNA from 1 species